rnacentral:lncRNA from 1 species
GAGGGGAGUCACACCAGCAAAAUAUUUAACAAGUCAUGGAGCUUCACCUCCACAUAUGUAACAGGCUUCUAAUCUUCCCACAUUAUACUAAUUAUUCUCUACCUCUGUAACAACCUAAGACCUCAGCCAAAAUGGCUAGUCAGAAGACAUAAUUUGGAUUCCUCAAUCUUGUAUAAAUACCCAAGAUCUCUUCGGCGAAUAACUGAUGUGGGACUAAACACACGCCCGCACGGAUUCUCACAUACUCGCCCCUUUCAAGCCCUGACAUCCUCGUCACGCUAAGAGUUUAAAUCUAUUCAAAUUUAAUCACAAGCACCAUGAUCGGCCCGUGGUUA